UACGUAGGGGGCAAGCGUUGUCCGGAUUUACUGGGCGUACAGCGCGCGCAGGCGGUUGCGUAUGUGAGCGGUGACAUCCGCGGGCUCAACCCGCGGCGGCCCGCUUACACAGCGCGACUGGAGGCAGGGAGAGGGAUGUGGAAUACCCGGUGGAGCGGUGAAAUGCGUAGAGAUCGGGUGGAACACCAGCGGCGAAGGCGGCAUCCUGGCCCUGUACUGACGCUGAGGCGCGAUAGCGUGGGGAGCAAACGGG
rnacentral:rRNA from 1 species